rnacentral:rRNA from 1 species
GACGAACGCUGGCGGCGUGCUUAACACGUGCAAGUCGAACGGAAAGGCCCUGCUUUUGUGGGGUGCUCGAGUGGCGAACGGGUGAGUAACACAUGAGUAACCUGCCCUUGACUUUGGGAUAACUUCAGGAAACUGGGGCUAAUACCGGAUAGGAGCUCCUGCUGCAUGGUGGGGGUUGGAAAGUUUCGGCGGUUGGGGAUGGACUCGCGGCUUAUCAGCUUGUUGGUGGGGUAGUGGCUUACCAAGGCUUUGACGGGUAGCCGGCCUGAGAGGGUGACCGGCCACAUUGGGACUGAGAUACGGCCCAGACUCCUACGGGAGGCAGCAGUGGGGAAUAUUGCACAAUGGGCGGAAGCCUGAUGCAGCAACGCCGCGUGCGGGAUGACGGCCUUCGGGUUGUAAACCGCUUUCGCCUGUGACGAAGCGUGAGUGACGGUAAUGGGUAAAGAAGCACUGGCUAACUACGUG